UACGUAGGGUGCAAGCGUUAAUCGGAAUUACUGGGUGUAAAGCGUGCGCAGGCGGUCUUGCAAGACAGAUGUGAAAUCCCCGGGCUCAACCUGGGAACUGCAUUUGUGACUGCAAGGCUGGAGUACGGUAGAGGGGGAUGGAAUUCCGCGUGUAGCAGUGAAAUGCGUAGAUAUGCGGAGGAACACCGAUGGCGAAGGCAAUCCCCUGGACCUGUACUGACGCUCAUGCACGAAAGCGUGGGGAGCAAACAGG
rnacentral:rRNA from 1 species